GUUGAAGCACCAGUUCCCGUACGAUCACUGAGUUUAAGCAAAGUCAAGCAUGGUCAGUACCUCAGUGGGUGACCACUUGGGAAUACCAGAAGCAGCA